rnacentral:lncRNA from 1 species
GUGUGCCUACAAAAACACACUGUUUUGGGCCAACUUUCCAUCGUCACAUUUGCAGCCAUCUGAAAGCCAGAGCCAGGCUUUGGUGCCGGAAAUAUAGCAGAUCUUCUAAAUGGAGGAGAAACUUCCCUUCUCAGCCUUCCCAGCUUCUGAGGGUGCUAAGCACCGUGAGGUCAUCCCUGGAGGAUAAGCUUCUUGUAACAAGGUUUUCUCUCCCUAAGUCUGGAGUAAAUAGGGAGACCUUCUUCCAAAGGUGGCACUGCUGGCUAUUCAAAUGAAUACAGAGAGCUGACUGUGAACGGUCAUGUUCACAAACACAUUUUCCUUUACUGGCAGAGCAUCUGAAAACAUACCUGCGAUUACCUUGGAUUUGGUCAUGAUGAAAAGACAGUGAAAGUUUAUUCUCAAGUUGCACUUCUUCCUUUCUGUUUUUGGAAGCAAAAUGACCGACGUGCAGCUUUGCCAUGGUUGAUGAUGUGACUUUGGCUCACAGCCCAGAAGAAUGUCACUGCCCGACAGGAUGAGGAGGAGAGAACCAAAAUCUAGUGCUGGAGAAUUGUAAAGCCGUGUAACAUUUUUUCAGCUGCUUUUGAAACCUGGUGGCAUGAAUGUGAACAUGAGAAGUGUACCAAUAGACCUCUUAUUUUUAAAUCGGCUCUUGAACCACAACCAGUAUAUUUCCAGUGCUGACAUUCUCUCUCCAAGUAUCAGUAAGUUUUGGCAACUUCUCUAGAGCACAAGGAACCAGGAUCUCUGCAAUCCAGUCCUCCCUGGGAAUGCUGGUUGAGCAGAGACAUUGUUCACUGGUACCUUCAGAAGCCUGCAGCAGAGGACCACUGUUAUUUCUGCCUUCCCUGGCUGACGUCAGGGAGGAGAAGCAUGGAAUUGCUCCAGAAGUUGGUCACCACCUCCCUGCAUCAAUGGCUGCUGGAAGGGAGAAUAGGCAAAGCACUGCCGAUUGUCUUCAUCCUCAUAAUCCACUACAGGCAGUGGUUGAAACGCAGGCAGCGUUGUUCUGCCAGGAGCCAGCCAGCUCUGUCACUAGUGCAGCUUUUGGUUGUUGCUAAAGCCCCAGGCGCCUCAUGGUGCAGUUUGGAUGGAGGGCUGUAGCAAUGGGUUUGAGUGUGAGUGAAAGAAGUGUCUCCACCGGAAUACCAGAAAUGAAUUGUCUUGAACUGAUGUUAGUUAGCUGCUGAGUGAUGGGUGUGCACCCAGGGCACAUCCACUUGGUGGGGAAGGGCACUGCUGUGGUAGUGCAAGGUGGGAGGUGGGGGGCGAGGUAGGCAGCAUCGCAAGCUGGGCCAGGCUGUGGGUUGGAUGUGCUGGCUUUAAAGCAUACUGUUUGGAUUGUGAAGGGAAAACAAUAGUUUUUGUAAGCUGUCUCACAGACACGAAAGGGUGGAGACAAUUAAUUAACUUUUCUAGCCCCAUUGGCCAAGCGUGGCUGAUGGGGCUGCAGAAGGCUGCUUUGAUCCAAGCCAGCAUGAGCACUAUGCUGGCUGGGUGGAAGCCGAGAGCUGUGCUGGCAUGCUAGAGUGCCUGAGAUGAGAGAUGGCUUCUCCUCGAAGACGGGAUCAAUAAUCAGUGAAAAUUAAAGAUGUGAAAAUAAAUAAUGUUAAAAUAAUUACUACAUGCUUUUUCAUACUCUGGUUACCACGAGGACAGGACUAAGCCAAUACGGGAUGUGCCCAGCUCCUACCACAUCUGCCCUGGGGCGAUGGACACAGGCCCCAAGCUAGCCCCUCCACCCAGUGACAAGUGUUGAGGAAUGCUCUUAAGGUGGAGAAGCAGGAGAUAACAUAGUAGUUGUGACUAGGAUCCCUGGAAUGAUGCUCCUGGGAGCUUUGCUUGUUGCUGUAUUGUACAACGCUGACAAGUCUGCAAGUUUCAUUGUAGCUUGAGACUUCGGUGUAAAUCAAAUCAUUACAUCCAGCUGCUUAAUUGCUAUUUGAGGAUGAGAGCUGGGAAAUCAGAUGGGUGAAAUGGUCAAGUCUGGGCUAUCCUGAGAGAGUCCACCUGCUUCAAAAUAGAGCUGCUGUUUGCUGAGACUCUUGGGAUUUGGUAAGGCUUGGAAAAGAGAAAGCUUUACUUAAGCCCUCUGGCCUUGUACUUUCUCCUGGCUGUCCUGGACUGAGUUCCCAAGGAAUCAGGAAGGGACCUGGGUAGAACAAAAUCCAUUUUAGUCCAAAAGGAGGCACAGGGUGAAGUUGCAGAGGCAGGUGGCUGACAGGCAGGUUUCUGUGUUGCUUUCCCUUCCCAGAGCGUGGAAUAACUCUUGAGUGCUGGGACAGCAUCUUCUCUUUUGGUGGCCGAAACUGCAGAACAGCAGUCUAAUUGUGUGGGAGAUCUUGCAGCAGGGCUUUGUUCCCUUGUGUCAUGAGGGGAAGCAUCAGAACCUUGUGAGCUAUGGUUUUCCCUUGGAGUUGCUUCAGCUCUGUUAAGUUUUCCAAGCAUGAUUCCCAGACUUGGGGACAGGUUGCCAGCCCUGUGCUAGGGGGCUGCUGGGGCUGGCAGAAGCAGUAAACUGGCUGAUGCUAUGAAGUUCUGGGAGUGAUAUAGACCAGCACAGGCUUUGGGAUAGUUGUAGGGCACAAGCUGUGGUAUUUGGAUGAGUGAAAGACCCCCAGCUUGUUAGCACGUUUCUUUUCGUGCUGCCUGUUCCCUCCAUGCAUGUGAUUCCUAAUGGAUCUCAGCAUCCUACCUAUGAGAUGGACAGACAGACAAAGUCAGUGCUGGCUUGACAGUAGCCAGGCUUUGGCCUGAUGCAGUUAUGGUCAGCCACAGGGAGCUUGCUAGGACUGGGACACAGAUGCUCACGAAAGAGUCUGAUAAUAGCAGCAUUUUCUUUGUAACCUCAGCCCUGAUGCAGCAGCAUGUUACGCAGAGGACAGGGGAACUAGAAGGGUGAGGCUGGAUGGAGGAGCAGCAUCUUUCAAUGCAAAGAAACAGGACACAGGCAAUUUGUUUUCAUUCUGUUUCACCGCAGACUGCUUUCCACAUCUGCAAAAAGAUUUCGGAGCAGGGUCUUCCCCUUGUUUCUGUGUUUCUGUUCUCAUAGAACCAGGUCGGGCUGUAAAUCCUCCAUCCCCUGCAUUUGGUUUGGUGGCUCUGUCAGAUUGCAGGUACCUAGAGAAGGAAAUCCUUGCCCAAAGGCUUCGCUACCUCCAAGCCUCUCCAAGAAACAUUUGGCAAGUGCUUCACCUCUGUGCUUCUGCUGCCUCCCUGCACUCCCAGCCCAGAAGCACCUCCACAGACUGCAACAUCUGCUAUAUUUAGCUUAUCAGCUCCAAAAUGCACAUUGGCCUCAUCACAUGCUUAGCACUGCUGACUGUGUAACAUACAUGAAUAUUAAGUAACUUGCUAAUAUUGGAUCUGUCAUGGGCUGAUGGGAUUGGGGCUCCUUCUUUCCAUUUAGGUCACCUAGUGCACUAGGUUGGAUAUUUAGAUGAGAUGCUGCCCCAAACUGAUACCAGGUGCUUGCCCAUCACCCUCAGAAAUAGAGGGAAUACUGUGGAACUGGAAACCCAACUCCAGAGCUAGAUUUUGGGGGUCUCUUUUUUUUUUUUUUUCAGAGUGGAGCUCAGGGCUGGGGAAGGAAAGAGGCUGGGCUGCCCGAUGGGUCAAGUAACGUUGCGGGUCUGGCAGUUCCUGUCAGAUCACUUCCCGUCAGAUCACUGUAAAUCCAGCCCCGCUUGCAUUUUUCGUCUGAUUUAAAUAGCAUGAAUGAAUCUUUGCCAGCAGGGAAGCUGUGUUUGACUGGGGACGUAUUAAGAUGAUCUGAACACAAGAGCUGAUAGUUUCAAGUAACUGUAACUUAACUUUGCCAUAUAAAGCAUUAUUGUCCUCCCACAGCAGUCCCCUGUCUGGGAGAGCACAGCUGCUGGGGAAAUAAAUGCUCCUCUUCAAUUUUUUUUUCUUUCUUUUCUCUUUCAUUCUAUUUUUUUUUCUUUCCUCUUUCAUUCUCUUUUCUUUCUUUCAUUCUUUCUCUCCUGUUGUUUGUUUAAAAAUGGGGACCCUGCACUGGUUUUCUGGCAUUGGUCAUGAUGGUAUGGUUGGUGGGAUGUGGACCCUGAGCUCUCAGAGGGUGCUGGGGCUCAGGGCUCUGUGGGGUAAACUCCCUUUAAUCCUGGGAAUUGCAUCCCAAGCAGAACCACUUAUAAGUGUGGAUUUAGUUCCGAUCCGGGCCAAAUCCUGGCUCUAUUGAAGUUGAAUGGGAACUUUAGCUGCUGGUUUCAGAGGGAUCAGGGCUGGGUGCUGAGCACAUCUGCCCUGCCAACCUCAGCAGCCAGUUCCCCAUGGGAUGGAAGAUUUCUGGAACGGUUAAGUUGUCAGUGGGUACACUGGCUGACCUUUCUUCCCCCCACCUCAAGACCAACCCAGGCUUUGCUCCAAUUCAGCCCCCAUAAAGCCUCACUGAGCAACAGCCACUUCUGGUCCUUCAGCUCCUUCUUGAAACCAUCUCAUGUCACAGAAACAGCCUGUUGCUGUGUGCAGCCAGGGUGAAUGCCAGCUUCCACUGGCGCCUGCUUUGGAUGUGGAAGCAAAUGGCUCUGGGACGACUUUCCAUCUUGAGUGGGAAAGCACUGCCAUCAGUGACAUCAUACCAGGGCUGCUUCUCAUCCACAGUUUCAUAGAGCUGGGAAAAACACUUCCACACAGAUUGAGCUGCCUCUCUCUGCUUAUGAAAUGGGUUUAAAAAAAAAAAAAAGUCUGAAUUCCCAAAAGGAUAAACUCAAAGCUCAAUUUGUAACUGGGAGCAGAUUCCCCACUCAAAAAAAAAAAAAAAAAAUAGUGUUUGAAAUCUUGUUUUUAAAGUUCUUGCUUCAGGCUGAGGCUGACGAUUAAAGCAGGGGGCUGUGUGACAAUGCUCCAGCCCUGCAGGUGCUGCUGGUCCCCAGGUGCUUGGAGCUAUGGGCUGCUGCUCAGACCUGCCUGGAGGCCACAAUACCCAGGUUGUGCAGCCAAGUUGGUUUUCAGGCAGUGUAGGCUGUUUUAUGUAGAUAAGGAAAUGGUAAGGAAAUAUAUAGAUGUAUAUACAUGCACACUAUUCUCUUAAAAAAAAAAACAAAAACAAAAACAACAACAACAAAAAAAGUACUAUUUUCCUGAAUUCCUCACCUGCUCAUGUAAUUGGAGUCUCAGUUUAGCUGGUUUUGGGCGCACUCAGAAAUCCCCAGGGAUUUUUUUCUGGCUGGGCUGAAAUGCUCUUCCUGCUUGUAGCCAGCCUACCAUGAAAACGCUCUUUUUUUUUUAGUUGCAUUUAUUUAUUUGUCCAAACACACAGCAGCCAAAAUGUGUAUUUGUGUAUGUGUGCUCUAACAUCUUCCAAAAGCCACUCCUUCCACCCCUGCAAAAUAGUUUGAGGAUUAUACAAGAGCAAUAAAUAUCUGGCCAAGGGGAAUGGUCUGGAUUGAAUGAAUGGAAGUUGUGAAUGGAGACAGCCGUGGCGGUGCUGGUCUCACCCAAUGUGAGACCAGAAGAGCAGAGGCAAUGCCCCUCUGUCCCAAGGGAGAGGCAAAGGCAACAAGUACCCAGCUUAGGAAUGUCCCUCGCUCAGGCAAGAGGCAUCAAGCCAUAUCCAAGUCCUUGUGCAGGCUUGGAUUGAAGUGUGGGUUUGUGCUCGAUAGUUCAUCCCAAAAUCCACGCUUACCUAAAAUGGGAUUGGAAAGGGGAAGCACUGAUUUGUAAUCCAUGAUGAGAACUAACUGUGCUGUUCAUCAGGGCUUUCAGCUUCAUCACAGAAUGUUUGUCUAAUUCAUAAGAAAUUAUAUUGCUUGGGACUGAAAUAGUGUCACUUUAUUGUAAAUUCCUAGAGAAAGCCUCAGGGACUGUGUUCCUCCUUAAAGCUGGUUAAGGUGCUAGUAAAAUCCUACAUGUGUAGGUAUGUUUCCUGACAUGGUCUCAGGAGCUAGCAAAGUAUUUUUAUUUUUUUUUAUUAUUUUUCAAGCAUCUUCUCUACAAGCUACACAAACUUCUGCAGGAGAAUGUUUUUGCCAUUUAUAUUGAGCAGCUGCUUUUUAAAGGACUAGAAAUAAAAACUGAAAUCCAGGAAUAAUUAAAUCAUCUGGUUUUGCAAUCAAUCCAAAACUAAAAGUUUUUUUUGGAGAAAUGUCUCUUUGAAGCGUUUUAAUGGCUAUGCACUGACUCUUCUAAUUCCCAGAGCAGCUACAAAUCACUUGCUAUUUGGGCAAGAAGACAUGCCCAACUGAGCUGGGCACUGAGUUCAUAGAAUCAUAGAAUGGCCUGGGUUGAAAAGGACCAUAAUGAUCAUCGAGUUCCAACCCCCCCCCCACUAUGUGCAGGAUCACCAACCAGCAGACCAGGCUGCCCAGAGCCACAUCCAGCCUGGCCCUGAAUGCCUCCAGGGACGGGGCAUCCACAGCCUCCUUGGGCAACCUGUUCAGUGCGUCACCACCCUCUGGGUGAAAAACUUCUUCCAAAUAUCCAAUCUAAACCUUCCCUGUCUCGGUUUAAAACCAUUUCCCCUUGUCCUAUCACUAUCCACCCUUGUAAACAGCCAUUCCCCCUCCUGUUUAUAUGCUCCCUUCAAGUACUGGAAGGCCACAAUGAGGUCUCCUCGGAGCCUUCUCUUCUCCAAGCUAAACAAUCCCAGUUCCCUCAACCUUUCCUCACAGGAGAGGUGCUCCAGACCUCUGAUCAUCUUAGUGGUCCUCCUCUGGACCCACUCCAAGAGCUCUACAUCCUUCCUGUACUGGGGGCCCCAGGCCUGGACACAGUACUCCAGAUGGGGCCUCACAAGGGCACAAUCACCUCCCUCUCCCUGCUGGCCACCCCAUUUUUAAUGCAGCCCAGAACACAGUUGGCCUUCCGGGCUGCAAGCGCACACUGCAGGCUCAUGCAGCUUCUCAUCUACCAGCACCCCCAAGUCUUUCUCUGCAGGGCUGCUCUCAAGGAGAUCUUCCCCUAUUUGUAUAAAUACCUGGGAUUGCCCCAGCCCAAGUGCAGCACCCUGCACUUGGCCUUGUUGAACCUCAUUAAAUUCUCAUGGGCCCACUUCUCCAGCCUGUCCAGGUCCCUCUGGAUGGCUUCCCUUCCUUCCAACAUAUCGGCUGCACCACUCAGCUUGGUGUCAUCCGCAAACUUGCUGAGGGUGCACUCGAUACCAUCUGUGUCAUUGAUGAAGAUGCUGAAGAACACCAAUCCCAAGACCGGCCUCUACCCUGACACAGAACCAUUGAUCACAACCCUUUGGCUGCAUCCAGCCAGCCAGUUCCUAAUCCACUGAACAGUCCAUCCAUCAAAUCCACACUUCUCCAAUUUAGAAAGAAGGAUGUGUUGAGGGACCAUGUCAAAGGCCUUGCAGAAGUCCAGGUAGAUGACAUCCACCACCCUACCCUGUCCACUGAAGCUGUCACUCCAUCAUAGAAGGCUAUCAGAUUGGUCAGGCACGAUCUGCCCUUGGUGAAGCCAUGCUGGCUGUCUCGGAUCACCUCUUUAUCCUGUAUGUGCCUUAACAUAGCUUCUAGGAGGAUCUGCUCCAUGAUCUUCCCAGGCAUAGAGGUGCAGCUCACCAGCCUGUAGCUCUGCAGGUCUUCCUUCCUCCCUUUCUUAAAAAUGGGAGUAACAUUUCCCUUUUUCCAGUCACCGGGAACUUCACCAGAUAGUCAUGAUUUUUAAAUACGAUGGAGUUCCCAUCAGCAGAAGUGUCCUGGUGGUGAAUGGGUUGUCCUUCAGCCCAAUAUUGUGUUCUCAGGCAGGGAAAUGGCAGUGGGCGAUGGGAUAAUGUCCAAGGGGUGUCAUUGCUUGCUAGCGAUUCAGCUGCUAUUAGCACACCUGUUUUAUCAUGCCACAGCAAGGGACUCCAUGUAUGGCUUUCUCCUCCUGCCAUUCUUCCCACAAGUAGUAGAAUGCCCCAAAAGCUGCUUUGCAUCCGCUAUGUCAUUUUCUCCUUGGUCUUUUUUUUUUUUUUUUUUUUUUUUGGAACGCUUGGAUUUUCUGCAUAAAACGAUUAUAAUGAUGGGAAAUGGUUUUGACAGAAGAUUCAGCCCUUUGUGUUGCAUGCUCUCAGCACUGAGUCAGAAACUGUUAGAAGACCCAAAUAUUUACAUAUAUACCCAAAUAUACCCAAAUAUAUAUUUACAUACUCCUCAUCUGCCUCCAUUGUGGGUGCUGGAGAGAUGCGAAAGAACUUGCUUAACAGCCAGUGGGAAACUUUGUUCUGGAGGCGGUACCGUGAACUUUCUUCUUGAUAUUCUUGCCCAGGACAAUAGAAAGGGAGUCUCCAAGCUUGACAGAAGUUGAAUGAUUUAGAUUUUCAAGCCACAGCUGCUGUGACUCAUGCUGCAAACAGCCCAGUGUGGGGCUCCAUGGACCAUGCAGCCCUGGUGUCUUACAUCUCUCUUAGCUCCCAUCUUUGCUUCAGCACAUUUGCAUCUCCACUGUGGACUGCUGGUGUGCCAGGACUCCACCACUCUUUGACCCAAUUUUCCUGCCCUACUUUUCUCUCUGCUGCCUGUUAUUAGAGGCAAAUCUCAAACAACGAACCCAUGUGGGAGCUCAGGCUGGCUGGGAAAGACCUUAGUAAAGGACUCAAAUCCACAAGAAUCAGGGCAGUGAUACCUGAGCAUCAGCGUGAGUCUUUGCCUUCUCAACUCAGUGUCCUUUGGCAUGUACCAGACCAUGAUUCCAAGAUGUUUGAAGUCGUGUGUUGCUUCUGUAAGUCUUGACCUGCCCAUCCAAAGCCAGAGAUGCCAGAAAAAACUCAUGUUAUCUUUUAUGGGGGGGCAGAACUGGGGGCUGGGUCUGCUCGCAUCUCCAUAAGUAGAGGUGGAUCAGGCUGCCAACAUAACAUUGUUCUUCUUCUCCAGUAGAGAUGCAUGAUCAGAGAAACUAGGCCAAAACAUGGAGUUUUACCCACUUUGUCUCCUGAGAAAUCUCACAAGCUGCCUGCUCCCAUCUUGUACAUCUCCUAGAGGCAAGCAUGCCUGGGUUUCUCUCCAUAUACCUUGAUCCCAAGAUGGAGUUUUUCCUAUUGGAAGCAUUGCAUGGAAACAGCCUGGGAAUCUGUUUGCUGCUCUAAAGGACUUUAAAGUCUGGUGUCCUAGGCUGACCCUGGAAAAUACCUCUUAGCCUGGGACUAGAUGCAGGACAGAAGGUAGGGCUCCUAGGACACAGUGAUACAACUAAGGCAACUUGUUCCAUGAGCAGUGGAAACCAGCAAAGCUGUGUUUCCUGUGGCUUUUUGUCAUGGGGCAGAGUUGCUGGAGGGCUCUUGCUGGCUGAUAAAAGCUGAACAGGGUCAGGCAAACUGGGGAGAAUAGAAGGAUGUCACUAGGGUAUAGAGAGGGAAAAUUAGAAGGGCAAAAGCCCAGCAAGAACUUAAUCUAUCUGCCAUUGUUACAGUUAAUAAAAAAUGUUUUAAUAAAUAUAUUAACACCAAGAGGAGGGCUGAGGAGAUUCACCAUCCUUUAUUGGAUGCAGAGGGGAACAUUAUCACUGAGAAUGAGGAAAAGACUGAGGUUCACAAUGCCUUCUUUACAUCUGUGUUCAAUAGUGAGGCUCUGAAUAUCCUCAGGGUACUCAGAUCCCUGAGCCUGGAAGGCAGGGAUGGGGAGAAUAAUAACUCUUAAGCACUCAAUUCAAGAGGCAAAAGUUAGGGACCUGCUGCUCCACCUGGACUGUCACAAAUCCAUGGAGCCAGAUGGGAACCACCUGAGGGUGGAGGGAGGAUGGAUGAGAGGAAUUGUGGUGGCUUUGAGGCUGCUUCGUGUUACUGGGAGGGCAGACUUAAGCUCUGUGCUUUGCAGGAAGCCUGGAAGGGGAUGACUCAGGCCAACAUGAUUGCUUCCUGAGAGUACAACAAGACGUUUUCCAGGGACUUGGAUGCCCCAUCCCUGGAUGCAUUCAAGGCCAGUCAGGAUAUGGCUCUAGGCAGCCUGGUCUGGUGGUUUGCGACCCUGCACAUAGCAGGGGGGUUGAAACUUGAUGAUCAUUGUGGUCCUUUUCAACCCAGGCCAUUCUAUAACUGAUUCUAUGGUACCGUGGGACAUGACAGAGGUGAUUGCCAAGCUGCUUUCCAUCAUUUAGCAGCAGUCAUGGCCAACCAGAGAGGUCCCAGACCACCAGAGACUUGUCAGUGUGCCAGCCCAUCUACAAGAAGGGUCAGAAGGAGAAUCCAGGGAACCACAGGCCUGUCAGCCUGACCUUGGUAUUGGAGCAGAUCAUCAGCAUGUGCAGGACAACCAGGAGCUCAGGCCAAGCCAGCAUGGGUUUGUGAAAGGUAGGUCCUGCUUGACCAACCUGAUCUCCUUCUAUGAUUGAGUAACUUGGCUGGUGGAUGGGGAAAGGGCUGUGGAUGUGAUCUUCCUAGACUUCAGCAAAGCCUUUGACUCUGUCUCCCACAAUAUUUUCCUGGAGAAGCUGGCAGCCCAUGGCUUGUACAGGUACACUCUGUUGUGUGAGAAACUGACCGGAGGGCCAGGCCCAGACAGUGGUGGUGAAUAGAGUUAAAUCCAGCUGGUGAAUGGUCACAGGUGGUGUUCCCCAGGGGUUGGUGUUGGGGCCUGUCCGGUUUAAUUGAUGACCUACACACGGGGAUUGAGUGCACCCUCAAUAAGUUUGCAGAUGACACCAAGUCUGGGAGAAGUGUUGAUCUGCCUGUGGGUAGGAAGGCCCUUCAGAGAAGUCUGGACUGGCUGGAUUGAUGGGCUGAGGACAAUUGUAUAAGCUUCAGUAAGACCAAGUGUUGGGUCACACACUUCGGCCACAACACCCUCAGGCAACGCUAUUGGCUUGGGGCAGAGUAGAUGGAAGACUGUGUAGAAGAAAUGGACCUGGGGGUGUUGGUCAGCACUCAACGGAACGUGAGCCAGAAAUGUGCCCAGGUGGCCAAGGGCAUCCUGACUUGUAUUAGAAACAGGGCAGCCAGCAGAAGCAGGGAGGUGAUUAUCUAGCUGUACUCAGCUCUGGUGGGGCCGUACCCAGAAUACUGUAUUCAGUUUUGAGUCCCCUCACUGCAAGAAAGACAUUGAGACCUGGGAGGGUGUUCAGAGAAGCUGAACAAAGCUGAUGAGGAGUCUGUCUGGAGCACAGGCCUUAUGAAGAGCAGCUGAAGGAAUGAGGCUAGGUUUCAAAGUAAACCCACAAGGACGUGUUUGAUCUGCCAAGGAGGACGAAGCUACUGUGUCAUCUCAUGCAGGUGGCAGUGAGUAUACCAGUGUCUCCUCACUCCCAUCAUGUGGUGGUGCGGAGAAAGUCUGCCAGAAACCAUCCUGCUACAGGAGAAGUGGUAACCCUGUUCUUGUCUCCACCUGCCUAGGAAGGAGACAGCACUGUCCAUGCCUCCCUCCCUGAUCUCCUGAGCUUAGGGAACCGUGACACUUGUGGCUUUGCUGACAUACUGGAUAGCUUGUCCUGUGUUGUAAGGGGUGAGAGGAAUUGUGGUGGCUAUGCGGCUGCUUCGUGUUACUGGGAGGGCAGACUUAAGCUGGGUGCUCUGCAGGAAGCCUGGAAGGGGAUGACUCAGGCCAACAUGACUCCUUACUGUGAGCGCAACCAGACGUUAUCCAAGGUGCUUUGCAAAAUUAAUGGGGAAAAAUGAGAGGUUGUUAAGGUAAAGGGAAUUAGGUUGGCAGAUGACUGCACCAUCUAUGUGCAACCUCAUCUAAGCAUAUUUAUAUAAAUCAUGUGAAACUCAAAUUAGAAUUUCAUCCAUCUGCUCUGCAGCAAGUCACUGUUCUACUGGCAAAGCAAGCCAAGAAAAUGCUCUUAAAUCUGUAAAAUCUGCCUCUAGCUGAGGAAACUUCAUACCCCAGUCUGAGAUCUGGUGGGGAGGCUGAGGUGCUGCAUGUUCCAGAGGGUUUUGGGGCAGAUGAGUUUUCAAGUAGAAGAGCUGUGGGAAUGUCCAGGCAUUACUCUCAGGGCCAUAGCAACUGGGGCAGAAUGCAUGGGAGAAAAAGAGCUCAGAAACCAAGACUCAGCCACAUUCAUUUGGGCAACAGAGGUUUGUAUUUACUGACCACAUAACUAUUUCUGACCAGGAUGGUGUCUGAUAGACAGGAGGAGAGCAGGCAUUCUUCGCUAACCAUGCUGUCCUGCCCGGCUCUUGCUUCUCCCUGAAGAUAUUCACUAAAGGCUGCAGUGCCCAAACACCAGGGUGACCUUGUGCUGACUUAGCACAUUGAAGAAGGUAGGAAAAUGCCUUCUGUUGUCUCUUCACAUCUUCCCAUGUUUCCUACUUGUAACAUCUGACUCUUACUGGACUUUUUUAUCCUUUCCUUCUCAGAAAGGGUCUGACACAGUCUCGUUUGCUUUAGAGGUGGCCAGUAAAGUGCUUGGGGGGAGCUCCUUGGCACCUCGAAGCAUUGCACCACAGGCAAAAGUGGCCACACUUCUGUCUGCCCUCAUGCAUGGUCACCAUCACGGAGCACACUGCUUGUACAAAUAUCCUGCUGGUUUCCAGGCCUGCGAGUCAAAGCUUUUGCAAAACUUAAGCAGUUCACAGCCUAAAAUACAUCCCUAGGCAUGGGGAGUGGUGGGAGGGAGGAUACAAAGAUGGAGACCAUGCAAGGUCACAGGAGAGCAGUGCCUUGUGGAGAGGAAUCCAGCGAGAUGGAUGCUAGGCCUGCUUCUGAAGCAGAGAUUUCUAGGAAGUCUGUCUGCACACAUGGGUGGUCUCUGAAAGUGGUGACUCACCAAGCAAUCUUUUGGCCCGGCUUUCUUGACAUUUGCUGCUUUUCCUGUCAUUAAAAACAAGAUCCCAUCUUCCCCCUGUCUCCCUGCAUUGAGGAUUUCAGCAAACAGUUUGGAGGCAAAUAAGUGAAGAUGACACAGCAGAGAAAGUUGGUCAAGUCUGUAAAAGGUAGAGCUAGAUCUAAAUACAGCAUAGCCUUGUUGGUAAGAAGAGCAGCGUAUGUGUCUAAGUGGUUGGACUGCUGUGUGCUCUGUUAGGUUUCCUUAACAUCUAGUGUGCCUAUUUCUUUCCUUUUUGGCAAAGCAGCCCAAAGCCCUAUGCCCCCUUUGGCUCAGGUGUCAGGUGGAGGCAGAUGUGUCUGGAUGGGAUGCUCAGUAGGAAACCAUGAGGCAGUGGUCACACCUGCCUCACUAGAAGGAAGUCCCCUGUGCUAAAGAGUGGAUGUUUUCUGAUGCGUGGGGCAUGCUCUUUGUGGGGAGGGACAGGUAGGGGAAGCCCUGGGGGUUUGGUAGCAGAUUUGCCAGCUCUUGACUUCAUCCACAGCAGGGCUGGCCCUGUGGGAUUGUUGGCUUCUCAUCUGUCCUUGCAGGUGGAGCUAUCUUACUGUUGGGUGGGUGACAGGGUACAAAGAGCUCCUGGGCUUGUGGAACAGAGGGCUGAAACACAACUGGGGGCUCCGCACGCCAAACUGCUCCAGGCUGGCUUCUCCAUCAGGAGACAUGGAUAUAAAAAGAGGCAGUGAGCUGCUUUGAUUAUUCUUGGGAGAUGUUCAGAAAUAUAAUACCCUCGAGCACUUCACAGGCUGUUUGGCAGAGAGGAGAGUGCAAAGGCACAGCCUGCGACUUGGACAUGCUGCAGUGUCCCCAGGCUGUAAUGUGUAGUAGGUUUGUGAGUGCCUGAGUAGUCCUGCACAUCACAGUGAUGCUGGCUACCUUGGGCUAACACCAGCUUGCUUUCAGGGGCUUCUGCCCAGUGAAGACUGGGGUGAGGUUCAUAGAAUGGAAUCACAGAAUGGAAUCACAGAAUGGCUUGGGUUGAAAAGGACCACAAUGAUCAUCAAGUUUCAACCCCCCCUGCUAUGUGCAGGGUCACCAACCACCAGACCAGGUUGCUCAGAGCCACAUCCAGCCUGGCCUUGAAUGCCUCCAGGGAUGGGGCAUCCACAACCUCCUUGGGCAACCUGUUCAGUGCAUCACCACCCUCUGUGUGAAAAACUUCCUCCUAACGUCUAACCUAAACCUCCCCUGUCUCAGUUAAACCUCCCCUGUCUCAGUUAAUGAAGUGGCCAGCCUGCACUGGAAGAGGCUGUUGGAGCUACCUGCAGAGUGGUCCUUGAAUAAAGAGGCAGAGGACAGUGCCUGAGCUUCUCUGCCUGCAACCACAGAAAACAGGUGGGAAAUGAUCCUGGCUUGGUCAUCUACUUCUGAGCUCAUUACUGAUGCCAAGCAUGGGAGAAAAGAAGAAAAAAAGAAAAAAAAAAGGAAAAAAAAAAGGAAAAAAUAGAAAAAAAGAGAUAAAACUGUAGUUCAAGAGCCUUGAUCAUCUGAAAUAGAGAUGCUUGAAGUGUUUGUGUAAGAUGUCUCAAAUGCCCUUUGGAAGCCUGGUCUGGCUGUGCACCAGGAUGUGUUUAUCUCCAAAAGGGCUGAGAUUUAAUUUUAUUUUAAGGUGUAGAAACAGUUUAUAAAACUGGAACCUUCUGUUAUGCAAAACUGCUGCUAGCUUCAUGGUUUUACUUAAUUCAUUUUAUAUACACAGACCUUUAAUUCAAUUUAUCUCAUUUCUCCCCCAUUUCCUCUGUGCAACACCAGCCUGUUUGUGUCUGGGCGACUGGCAACAUGUGUCUCAAGUUCCAGCCAAGCAUGCAUGAAAAUGCAGUUGCAAUUUGCUGCAAACCAGGUUUUAAGAUGGAAACAAAUAAUUAGAAGCACACAAAUUAGUGCAUGUCUGACAACAGGUUGAGCUCUGUACACAUUUAUACAAAGUUGGUGAUCACAGGAUGAGAGUGAUUAAAUCCAGAGGCAGCAGCUGAAUAUUGGUUGUAGCAGGCCAGGUGGAAAAAGUGUUGGGAAGGAGCAAACCUGGGCAGAUUUCACAAGGGCUGCACUCCAAGAAUUGAGAUAAAACUGUAACACUUCAGGGACUUUCCGUAAAACGCUGUAUUUCAAGAUUUGAUGCCUUAGCUGCGCUUGUUCGAAAUGCAUGCGUGAGCACUUCCAGUGACAAGACAGACACGAUUUCUUGGGCACCACCAAUCCCAUAUAGUCUCCACCAGUGUAGAAGUGCUCUCUGUGGUUUCCUGCCCUUGGCAUUGGUUGUUUUUCACACUUCUAGGCUCAGAUAGCGUGGGAUCCCAGCCCUCCGAUGCCCCUUGAUGAACAGCAGCUCACCUGGGUGGCUUUCCUGCAGCAACUGGCACCAAAGUGAUUAAAUGCUCUUCUCGUUGAGUGCCUGCUUCUCUUUGUGUAUAUGUAAGCAAGUGAGGCACAGAAGCAACAUAGAUUGUUCUUCUGCAUUCACUGUGAUAACAAUUGCCUUGGAUACAUAUGCUCUACUGUACAUUUUUUAGGAGCACCAGCAGGAAGACUGCUCAGAGAGGAGGAAACCCAGCCAGUGUGGUGCCAGCACUGCCCCUUCCUCAGGCUCUCUUGGGGAUUGAAUGUAGGGAUGUUUCUGUGCCUAUUUGAGCAGAGGGAAGGAUCCUCUGAAGGAAAAAUCCCAUCUCUUGGUCUCCAGAGAAGCCCUGUGGCUGAAUGGCUCAGCCUGUGCUGCACACCUGGAGUUUGGGCAGGGGCUUAUAGGUCCCAGAAUUGUGCCUGAAUCAUACAAGAGUCCUUCACCCUGCCAGUGAUGCUUCAACUGGCCCGAUUUUAGGCAAAAAUAGUCUUUUCCUAUUCCUUGAUGCCACUUUAUCUCAAAAAAAGUUUAUCUUUAAAACAUUUUUCACAUCGCUGGGAUGGAACGAGAGGUACCCUGCUGGUGUUAGUGUCAGGAGGAGAAAGCAGGUAGGUCUGGGCAGAGGAGAACAGUAAUGAAGAGGGACUCCCCUGCAGCCCCUCUAAGCACUCCCAGCCUCAUCGCUCUUUCUACUGCUGCAUCCCAGAGUGCUUGAGGGCUGGCAACGAUGGUGCUAACCCCCAAGGCUCAGCUUUCAACAGUCAGAAGGAUCAGAAGCAUGAGAUUUGCAGCACAACAUUCCAAGAGAGUUUCUUCUGAAACAGAAAAUGUUGGAGGGGUGGAGAAGGGUGAUUCUUUGUAUUAUACAUCCUGAGCUGCUUUUACUUUAUCUGGUUGGAAGCCCCGUGUUGUUUUUUUUCUUGUCUUUUUUUUUUUUUCUUUUUUUUCCUUUUUUUUUUUUAAUUGGUUGGUUGGUUUUAAUGUGAAAACAGAGAUUUGAGGGGUUGGUAAGCAGAGGCUUGGCCAUUGAAACUGACAGCCUUGGGCUAUGCCUGUCUGCAGUUGUCAGAUGUUUGACAUCUGGUUGCUUUAGAGACAGAUAGCAGAGUGGAGCACUUUAAUCCUUCACCUAAGCUAAAAAAAAAAAAAAAUUAGAAUGGAGAAAAAUAUACAAAAUAGGCCAUGACAACAGAGUCUGUCAGCAUCUGAGAUCCGCUCCUAAUUAACAGCAGUUCCCGUCCCAGAAAUCAUACCGUUCAGCAAAAGUUAAUCAUCUUUGCUCAUACAUACAAUGCUCUUCAAGAGGGAAUGAGUCACCCUCAUUGAAAUGUCUAAUGUUAUGAAAUCCAGUGUGACUGAUGUAAUAGACCCAGCUAAGCUCUCCAAAUUGGCUGGGAGCACCAACAGAAAUGCUCAGCCUGUGUGUAAGUUGACUUCAUUGAAUUUUUUGUGUUUGUACCCUGGCUGAGUUUAGCCUUUUGUAACUAAAACAAACUCACAGGGAACAGCCAAAGAAGGAGUUGGGUGAACCUGUGAUGAGGGGCAGUGGCAGAGGGACAGGCAGAGGCCAAGAGCAGUGGUACCACCAAGCCUAGCAAUCCUCCCGGCCUGGAGCUGUCUGUUCCCACCUUUGGGACAGAAUGGUAGCACUUGAAUCCCAGCAUUCUACAUAUGUAAGCAUUCACAAGCCUGGGUAUUUAUGCUCCAUUUCAUGGUUCAAAGAGGCUGAAUUCAGAGUUUAGAUCCUGCCCAGAUAUCAGCUGCUCCCUCUUAAUUUAAGUACUAUCACCUGCAAAUGUUUCCUUCAAGCACUGGGUGCUAUUUGCUUGGCGUCCUUUGUUUAAAUGUCACUGUAUGAAUCGCUGAACGUGAUUUAAAUAUUUAAAAUCAUGUGCCACAAAUCUAAUUCUAUUUUGAAAUACCAAGCCAGACUUGUAGCUGAUGCAACCAAUAACAACUCCGCCCAGCACCCCAGGUUCCUGUCCCAGUUCUUUAAUGAUUAGCAUUUCCAAUACCUUCCACUCAACAAAUCUGGGCUCUGAGAUUUCUUUUUCAGUGCACUACCACUCUGCCAAUAGCUUUUACUAGGCCUGAAUAUCCAUAGUUUCCAAGGAAAUAAUGUUCCCCUUGGGAAAUGCCACUGUCACCCAAGACAGUCCUUUCCUAACUUGCACAAGAAAAGCUUGGCUCCAUGGAAGUCAUAAUUUCUCCAGCUCCUGGCAACAGCCUACUCUGACGAGCUGUGCUUCCACCAGGGCUCCCUUCCACAUCCCUGCGACCACCUGGCUUGUGGGGCUUUAUGCUCAUGCCUCCAAAUGCCAUCUCCCACAGGUCUCCUAUUAUAAGGUCCAAGCUGCCUUCUAAUUGUGCAGCCUGCAACUCCCCAGAACAUUUCUUUUGCCACAUGCCCUCUCUGCUCCUUUCCAUCCAGGGAUGAUUCUUGCUUCUGCUCCCCAUAACGUGCUUAAAAGUUGCCUGGUCACUUCUCUCUCUGCCUGCUCUUGCCUUGCUGUUCAGACCAGAAGUUAAGAAACGGUGACAACAGGCACAACACAUCUGUGCAGCAAUAGCACGAUUUGCUUGCAGGAUCUGGUAGGCAAAUUGCCAAUGGUAAUGCUGGUGGAAGCUGGACUUGUACCUUAUGAGUGUCACAGCUAUUUCUUGCCAAUGCUUAGGUCAAGCUGUGUGAUAUUGGCGAGUAUCCUUCUUCUAAGGAUAGGAAAGGGGGAAGGGUCCUGCUCAGGACUGGGCCAGUGGGAAGAGUCCAGGCUUGUGGGACGUGGCCUGAUUUUCUCUGUGCUGAUCAUGUUCUUGCAGGUCAUAUAUGUGUAUCCAAGAGCUGUGAGUGUGCCCAGGAGUGUGCCCAGGCUGGACUAGUGACCAGAAGGGACAGCUGGGUUUGUUCACAGAAUAUUGCCUUUUGGAUAAGUGCACUGUGGAAGGGAGAAGGAGAGAAGUUUUCCCAAGAGACAUUUUGUAUUCAAACUAUUAUUAUUUUUGUUUUCCUGGAAACUAAUUUUAUGGGCUAAAACAGAGCUGGAUUCAGCUGAGCACUAGCAUUAACAACACUGUGAGGAAAACAGAGAACUCAUUUUCCAGUGCUCUGAAAGGGGAACCAGCCCCUUGCUCAUGAAAAACUUCUUGGAAAUGGCUUCUUAGGUUUUGUUCAGUCUUGUUUAUUCACAAUGAGGAGAAACAAACUCAGGAAAUAAAGCAUCUUCAGGGAUAUCUUGCAAAGCUUUGCAAUGAGAAGACAGGCAGUGAGCCGUAAGUGAGGACAGGAGGCUAUGUCUGACCAACAGUAGGCACCAAAAACCAUCCAAACCAGAACAACUAUUUCACUGGAAUGAAAGGCUGUGAAAAACAGUUGACUUUAACACCACACACACAGAGAAGGGGCAGAAUCAUGCAGGCUUCUUCCACAGUAUCUCUGCAUCAAACAAGGAUUUAAUCGGAGCACUUUACGGUUUCAUCCAUAGGCAGAGGUGUGGUGCACCAGCACAUUCCUGGGUGCAAUGCCAAUCUUGUUAGAGCGUACAACCCCAAUAGCUCUGCCAAAGCCACCAGGGCUGCUUUGGCUGCAACCCAUGCAGGAACACACUGAGGAGCCGUGGCUGCCCAGCUGUGCCAGGGAAGAGGUCCUGCCCCCGUAUUUGGUCACCCUGCUUGAAAUCAAACCCAGCAAGGCAGUGAGAAGGCAGCAGAUCCCAAGUGCUGCUCAGCCAGUCUGGCCAAGUCAGGGUUUUCCCAUACAUCUGUUCCCCUUGCUCCAGGCCUGCAUCCUGGCAGCAGCCUGGGAGGGAUGAGCAAUCAAAUCUCACCCCAUCAGCAAGGGUGGGGAAAAGUUGGGGAAGCAAAGCCAGGAGCCCGAGCUCAUUUACAAAAGUUCCUGAUGAGUGAUGAAGCCACUUUCACAAUUGUUUCCAGUAAAAAACCUGCACCAGAAAGCUUGCCACUUAGCCUCCUUGAAAAUAAAUAUUUCUCUGCAGGAAAUUGCUUCUUGCAAACAGCCAGGAUGCCUGGGAGAAACCGCCAAGGAACUGACGUGUGUGGAGGGUGGGUGGUCAUGUAUGCCUAAGCCUGUAGAGCUGGGAGGUGGUGGGGAUACAAAUGGGAGAGAGAGGAGGCACUUGGAGAGCACCAUGGGGUCUUUCGGUUGUUCCUCUCUGCCUGCCUGCCUGCUUACUAAGAGCAGCCUUCUCCUAUCAUACAAAAUGAGGAAUCAUUAGAAAUGAGGUACACAGACAUAUAUAAAAUUACAUGUUGUGUAUUUUGUGCCCAUCUGGUUGAAUUGGAGGCUGUCCUCCUGGCUGGAGGACUAUCUCAUCUUUCUUCCUUUCUCUGCUGGGUUUUAUAGGAAGUCUUGGGGACAUCCCAAGCUGUCAUUUAGCCACUUGUCCCCAGAAGCAGUGUGAAAAAAAGCUGGGCUAAUAUUUCCUGGAUAAAUUAGAUUUUGGCUCUGCAGAUUGGAUUUUUUUCAUUUUUACUUUUAUUAAAUUUUUUUAUUAUUUUUUGCAAACAGGCAGAAGCAAACCCUUCUCUGCAAAAAUGUGGAGGUUUCCUCAAACUGAAGCUGGAGCCAGGCUCUUCUUGGGUGCCCAGUGAAAGGGCAAGAGGCAAUGAGAACAAAUUGAAAACACUUCUUCUCUUUUAGGGUAGACCAACAUCAUCAGGUUGCCCAGAGAGGGUGUGGAGUCUCCAUGCUCAGAGAUAUUGGUAUACUCAACUGGGAUGAGGUCCUGCUCUAGAAGACCUCACUAUGAUGCUCUCCAGAGGGACCUCCAGCCUCAGUCUGUAACCACUGGCAGUCGUUUAUAGAAAAACUGAGUUCUUGGAGUCUUGUUUUUUGCUGUGAAAGCAUUUAAAGUGAAGAUAACGUCAACUUCUCCCAUAGGCUGCAGCACUCUGUACAGCUUUGCUUUUCCAUGGCAGUCGCCAAGCUUCUAGUUGUACCUGGAGAGACAUGCACGGUGGGCAAGGCAAGAACCAGCCCAAGGGGAAGGCUCCUACCCUCAGCCUCCUUUGGAAGGCCAAAAUCUGGGCACAGAUUUUCACUGGAGCUCUUCAGGUGGUUUCUUAACCUUGAAGAUGCUUUCCAUGUCUGAUGAGGGGCAAAGUUGAUGACAAAAAAAGAGUCAGGUGGAUGACAGGGAUGGAGAGCCACGGGGAUCAAGUGUAAUCUGCAAAAGGAGGAACACCAGUAGAGACUGCACAGUGUGAAGACACUGGGAGGCUGCAUGUGCUCUGCCUGCACCUCCUCUUAAACAGGAGGGGUUGGGUACCUUCCUUCUGCAGACUUUGCAGUGGGGCUGUGCAAGGAACAGGGAAAUCUCUUCCCACUUCCAAGAGAGAUGCCUUCAAAUUCACAGGCACUGCUGCACAGGGGUGGCUUUGCUGCAGAAAGCAGAGCACAGCAUGUCCUCCCGCUUAGUGCCUGUGGGUGAGGUGCUUUACCAGGCCCAAGUCAUUUGACAUUGUUCUAGUGGGUGUCUGAAGCUAAUGAAUCCAGAUUAGGUAGUGCGGAGGCUGGGGAGCUAGAUUUCUGCUGAAUAUACAUAAAGGCAAAUAUGAAUUCUAAAACUUUAAGGGAGUAUUUCUACCCUGGCUCAGUGCUAAUGGUUGAUAAAAAUAGUCACAAAUUAGUGCAGGAAUAGGAAGAAAAUUCGGGCUUUAUCUUUUUUUUUUUUUUUUAAACUGCUAAAACCGGACAUCUAUUUUUCUACCAGGAGUUAAUUUCUUACAUGCAAUAAUAAAGCAUGGAGUAAACUAUCAACAUGUGCCCUUCCCUGGCAGAAUAACUCCCACCUCAAUUAAGUAAAUAGGAGGAGGAACUGAAGUUAAAUUAAAAAAAAAAAAAAUCCUUUGUAUUGAAAAAAAUAAAGGUGAUUAAAUCAGAAAUUCAGCUCCGCAAGGAGGAUGUGAGCAUCAGGUUAACCCUUCUGUCUGGUUCCCUAGCACCUGAGUGCUUGCAGAGGUAACGAGGAGGCAACUCGCUCUACUCUACAGAUGGGAAAACUGCAGUACAGAAAACAGCAAUUUCACUGAAUGUCACAGAGCAAAGCAGAAGUCACCCUGGUGAUUCAGAUGACUUCUGAGCCAAUUCCCAGCUGAAAUACAGCCCACACAAUGCUGCUUGGAGCACUCAUGGUUGAACUGCCAAGGAGGAGCAUCCUCUCUGGGUACUGAUGGAUGUGUGGCCACAGGCAGGUGAGGGCACUUGCUGAAAGGAGCCCAGUAGCUUUAUGAAUUAAUAUCUGGACAGUGAAUAAUACCUGGUACGUGAUAUUAGAUGUUGAAACCAGCAGACUGAGCAAUGAGAAGAUGAGCCCUUGGGAGAUUUAGCAGAUACAGCCCAGAGCUGCUGGGUGCAGAGCUGACUUAACGUAUGAGACUGGAACGAAAACCCUUUUAGGGUGCAAUGCUGUUGAAAAAGUACAUACUAAAAAGAAAAGAAAAACAAAAACAAAGAAAGAUGUGUUUUUCAGAAGUUCAUUUUUAAGAAUAAAAUGUUACUUAACUGACCCGCUUCUGACUGCUUUAGUCUUCAAAUGUUUAGAAAUCCUAUCCCACACCUAAGCUGCAUACAAUCAUAGAAUCAUAGAUUCAUUAAGGUUGAAAAAGGCCACUAAGAUCAUCUGGUCCAACUGCCAACCUAUCACUACCAUCCACACUCAUGUCACUCAGUGCCAUAUCUACACCAAACUUGAAAACCUUCAGGGAUGGUGACUUCACCACUUCACUGGGCAGAGUGUUCCAAUAUCUUGCCACUCUUUUUGAUAAGAAGUUCUUCCUAAUGUCCAAACUGAAUCUUCUCUGGCAUAACUUGAGGCCAUUCCCUCUCAUCCUAUUGCUAAUUACAUGGGAGAAGAGGCUGAACCCCACCUCAUCACAAACCUCCCUUCAGGGAUCUGUAGAGAGCAAUGAGGUCUCCCAUGAGCCGCCUCAGUUGCUCCUCAUAAGAUUUGUGCUCCAGACCCCUCCCCAGCUUCUUUGCCCUUCUCUGAACACGCUCCAGGGCCUCAAUGUCUUUCUUGGGGUGAGGGACCCAAACCUGAACACAGCACUUGAGGUGUGACCUCACCAGUGCUGAGUACAGAGGGACGACCACCUCCCUGCUCCUGCUGGCUACACUAUUUCUGAUACAAGCCAGGAUGCCAUUGGCUUUCUCGGCCCUGGAGGGCCUCUCUAAUUUUCCCUCUGCAUAUCCUGGUGAUGUCUCUGUAUUCCUCACAACUUGCCUAAGCCUUCUUCCAAAGAUCACAAACUCUUUUUCCCAGAGUCUCAGCAAAAGUACCCUGUUCAUCCACACUGGUCAUUUUCCCUACCAGUUCAUCUUACAGCACAGGGGAACAGCCUGCUGCUGUGCCUCUAAGACUUCCUUCUUGAGGGGUGUCCAGCCUUCCUGGACCCCUUUGCCCUUUAGGACUGAAUACCAAGGGACCCUCCCUCCCAGGGUCUUGAACAAUUCAAAGUCUGCCCUCCAGAAACCCAAGGCAGCU